rnacentral:lncRNA from 12 species
UUGCCCCAGGGAUUCAGGGAGGGAAUAAAAUUGCCAGGAAAGAAAGGACUCCCUGCUGCUCCCCCAACGUGUCUGGGGAGUCCUGGGCUUUUGGGACAGAAGUCAUGGAAUCCUGGAAUCCCAGAAUGGUUUGGGUUGGAAAGGACCUUAAAGCUCAUCCAAUCCCACCCCUGCCAUGGGCAGGGACAACUCCCACUGUCCCAGGCUGCUCCAGGGACAGCUCCCACUGUCCCAGGCUGCUCCAUCCAACCUGCAUCGCUUGGAUGUUUCCAGGGAUGGAGCAGUGACAGUUUCCAUGGAUGUGUGCCAGGGCCUCACCAUCCUCACAGUCCAAACUUUUCCUCCUUGCCUUUCUCCAGCUCUUUCCCACACCCUGAUUGUCACCACUGGUGGCCUCCUGAUUGUUCUGCUGGCUCAGAAUUCCAGGCUCCCGCUCUGCUUUAUUUCACGCGCCUCGGCUGGAAUAAAAUCAGGUUUGCGGUGCUGCCAAAGCUCCUGACUCCCUGUUUCGCCCCCACAAAAACCCUGCCACGGUCCCAAAGGUUUCCACGGUGGGAGGGUUGUGUCCUGCAGCUCCGGAGCUCGAGGAAUUCUCACAGAAUUGAAUUGAAGAUCGGCGUAGCUCCGGAGCAAGGAGGAGAUUUUGAUGCCAGGGAAAGGAAAAAAGGGGAAAAAAAACCAUCGUCGGGGAGCGAACAUCUCCCUCCAUCCCCUCUCCCCAGCGGCUUUUCCGCGCUGCUGAGGCUCCUGCUCCUCUCCAGGAGCCGUCUCCGAGUGACAGCGGCGAGCGGAUUAAUUAAGCUGCUUGUCAGCCCUUGGCAGGCGGCAGCUCUGCCACGCCAGCGCUAAUUAAACCCAACAAAACCAACCUUUAUCUGCAGAGCCCUGCCGCGGGCUGGGAUGAGGCAGGAGGCCACCGCCAGCCGAGUUCAUCGCGCCCGAGAGCCUGGCAGCCACCCUGAGCGCGGGGAGGGUUUGGGGAUGGGGAUGCCACGCUCUGAAAACAGAUUUGGGAAGGGAAAGGGGUUGGGGGGCUCCAACCCCACUGAUGACAGCAGAUUUUGGGGGGCUGGAAGCUCUCAGGCAGAUUUGGUGCUGGGUAUCCCCCCCCGUGUGGAAGUGGAAAUUCCCCCCCUCGCUCGUGUUUUAUCCCCAAAAAGGGAUUUUCUGUGAUCUCGGCAGCAAACCCUUGGGUGAGCUCUGGGCAUCCCAUUCACGGGAGGGUCCGGGGUGAAACCCGGUACCUGUUGAUGCUCCAGACACCUGGAAAGCCACAUUUACACCAGAAAAGGCUGUGAAAACACCCCUUCAGAGAGGAGACAACGCUGCAGGCGGGUUGGCACCGGCACUGCUGAGUGUCUGAGCCCCGGGCUCCCCUCGCUGCUCCUCCUGGCAGAGCAGCGCUGAUCUGCCUCGCCUGAGGGAGGCUGAUAAGAGAAUUAUCCGGAGGCACGAGCAGGAUGGAGGCAAAAUCCUUCCCCUCGUUCCCUGGUGAAGGGGAAAGGCAAGGCCGGGUCAGGCUGGGUGCUGCACAAAUCCAUCCACGGGCCAAUUCAGCUGGAAUUGUACCUGGCUGAGGGUCGUUCCCAGCGCACGCCGCUGCUCCUGUCCUUCCAGGGUUUAUUUUCCAGCCGCAUAAUUUGGGCAACUUUAAUUGCCCCAUGAUUAAGUGACUUUUGAUUUCCCUCUCAUCAAACGUAAUCUCAUUUGCUCCUUCUCCUUUUCCUUUCUUUCACUCUCAUCCCCCCACCCUCCUGGAAAUUGAAUUAACAUUCCAUCUAAUUACUCAGCCACUUCUCUAAUUGCUGAAGGGACUGUGGUUGUGGUGCUCAUUUAAUUAAUUGAGACCUGCAAUGUUUAAUGAGGAAGAGGAUUUAUUGGCGGGGGAGUUGGUGUGCAGGGCUGCCUGGCAGGAGAGGGAGGUGGAUGCCAGUCCGGCGGGACAGAAAAGGCUGGAUCUCAAACCCCCCCCCCCCCCCCCCCCCCCCCCCCCCCCCCCCCCCCCCCCCCCCCCCCCCCCCCCCCCCCCCCCCCCCCCCCCCCCCCCCCCCCUUGUUUGU